rnacentral:tRNA from 1 species
AUUUAAAUAGUUUAAUAAUAAAAUAUUGAUUUGUGGUAUCAAAGAUGUAAAUUUUUACUUUAAAUA